rnacentral:rRNA from 1 species
GUGUCUAGGUAUAUCAGGUUGAAUGCAUCAGUUUCCAGCUAUUCCAGCAGACCACUGAAGUUAAGCAACACUGAGCAUGGAUCGUACUUGGAUGGGUGAUUACCUGGAAAAAUUACCUACCUAUACUUA